AUUGAACGCUGGCGGCAGGCCUAACACAUGCAAGUCGAACGGUUGGCGGACGGGGGAUUAUGGUUUGGAAAACUCCCUGAUGAGGGGGGUUACCUACUGGAAACGUUACCAAAUCCCGCAAACAAUAGGUGUUGCCCAGAUGGGAUUAGCUUGUUGGUGGGGUACCGGCUCACAAAGCCGACGAUCCCUAGCUGGUCUGAGAGGAUGACCAGCCACACUGGAACUGAGACACGGUCCAGACUCCUACGGGAGGCAGCAGUGGGGAAUAUUGCACAAUGGGCGCAAGCCUGAUGCAGCCAUGCCGCGUGUAUGAAGAAGGCCUUCGGGUUGUAAAGUACUUUCAGCGGGGAGGCGUUACCCGCAGAAGAAGCACCGGCUAACUCCGUGCCAGCAGCCGCGGUAAUUC
rnacentral:rRNA from 1 species